GACGAACGCGGCGGCGUGCUUAACACAUGCAAGUCGAACGGAAAGGCCCACCACCUUUGGUGGUGGGUACUCGAGUGGCGAACGGGUGAGUAACACGUGGGUGAUCUGCCCUGCACUGUGGGAUAAGCCUGGGAAACUGGGUCUAAUACCACAUACGACCAUGACAUAGGGGUCAUGGUGGAAAGCUUUAUUGCGGUGUGGGAUGAGCCCGCGGCCUAUCAGCUUGUUGGUGGGGUAAUGGCCUACCAAGGCGGCGACGGGUAGCCGGCCUGAGAGGGUGGACGGCCACAUUGGGACUGAGACACGGCCCAGACUCCUACGGGAGGCAGCAGUGGGGAAUAUUGCACAAUGGGCGCAAGCCUGAUGCAGCGACGCCGCGUGGGGGAUGACGGCCUUCGGGUUGUAAACUCCUUCGCCCGGGACGAAAGCCCAACCUGGUGGGUGAACGGUACCGGGAAA
rnacentral:rRNA from 1 species